GACGAACGCUGGCGGCGUGCUUAACACAUGCAAGUCGAACGGAAAGGCCCUGCUCUUGUGGGGUGCUCGAGUGGCGAACGGGUGAGUAAAACGUGUGUAACCUGCCCUUGACUUUGGGAUAACUUCAGGAAAAUGGGGCUAAUACCCGAUAGGAGCUCCUGAUGCAUGGUGUGGGUUGGAAAGUUACGGCGGUUGUGGAUGGUAUCGCGGCUUAUCCGCUUGUUGGUGAGGUAGUGGCUUACCAAGGCUUUGACGGGUAGCCGGCCUGGGAGGGUGACCGGGCACAAUGGUACUGAGAGACGGCGCAGACGGCAACGGGCGGCAGCAGUGGAGAGUAUGGCACAGUGGGGGGAAGCCAGAGACGGCGACGCCGCGUGCGGAAUGACGGCCUUCGGGUUGUGAACCGCUGUCGCCGUUGACGUGGCGGGAGUGACGGUAAUGAGUAAGAAAGCACCGGCUAACUACGUG
rnacentral:rRNA from 1 species